GUGACCUGCUGGGCUUUUUGAAGCUCAUUAUAUGUGGUUAACAAUUUCAGGUCAGAGCAAGGGAGCAAGAAGUGAUGGUUGAUCAAGACUGUCGACGAAUCCUUUCACUAUGGAUGCCUGGGGCGUCACAACAUAUUAGUUAAGAAGUUUGGGAAUUGUUCCACCUUAAGCUUCAAAUGAAAUAGAUCAUUCUGGAUGCAAGUUUUAGGUUAUGGGCAGGGAUGCUAUCUUCUAUAUAAUCCAAAAAUAUUGUGCUUGCAAAAGGAGAAAAAUUAUAGAGUUUUGUCAGUCCGUUGUUUUAUGUUCGUAGGAGAUGGGAAGACCAUUAGACCAAAAGGAGGAUAAGUCAUCGCAACAAAAUCAAAAGCUGAAGGCUACGAGAAAGAAAACAAAGAACAAAGGCAAUAGACAGGAAAAAAAAAGGUUCUUACUUGCAAGAGCAAAUGCAUACAAAUGGGAAGCUGUGAUCUAGGAGUAUGGAUUCUUAUUACUUAACAACUGUUAUGAUUGCACAAAUGAUAGCACAUCGACUAAUUUUUAUGCUUUUGUACCUUAAGGGAUGUAGGAUAACUAACUUGAAAAUCACUGAAAGGAUAGCAAGCAUAAUAAUCUACUUGUUAAAAGCUAAAAUUACUCUUCACCAUUAUAUAGUGAUAGUUUUGUCUAAAAAUAA